rnacentral:rRNA from 1 species
GACAGAGGUGCCGAGCGUUAGUCGGAAUCACUUGGCUUAAAGCGUGUGUAGGCGGAGUGCUAAGUACCUUGUGAAAUCCCACGGCUUAACCGUGGAACUGCUUGGUAUACUGGUUCUCUUGGGUCAUCUAGGGGCGAGCGGAACAAACGGUGGAGCGGUGAAAUGCGUAGAUAUCGUUUGGAACGCCAAUGGUGAAAACAGCUCGCUGGGGAUGCACCGACGCUGAGACACGAAAGCCAGGGGAGCGAACGGG